UGGGGAAUAUUGGACAAUGGGCGAAAGCCUGAUCCAGCCAUGCCGCGUGAGUGAUGAAGGCCCUAGGGUUGUAAAGCUCUUUCGACGGGGACGAUAAUGACGGUACCCGUAGAAGAAGCCCCGGCUAACUUCGUGCCAGCAGCCGCGGUAAUACGAAGGGGGCUAGCGUUGCUCGGAAUCACUGGGCGUAAAGGGCGCGUAGGCGGAUCUUUAAGUCAGGGGUGAAAGCCUGAGGCUCAACCUCAGAAUUGCCUUUGAUACUGAAGAUCUUGAGACCGGAAGAGGUAAGUGGAACUGCGAGUGUAGAGGUGAAAUUCGUAGAUAUUCGCAAGAACACCAGUGGCGAAGGCGGCUUACUGGUCCGGUUCUGACGCUGAGGCGCGAAAGCGUGGGGAGCAAACAG
rnacentral:rRNA from 1 species